AGCUGGAUCCUUCAUGGUUGGAGUAAAGGAGCAGGGGGGCUGGCAAUGGGGGAAGGAACAGCGAGGCCGGGCCGGCGGCGCGGACAUGUUGCCUCUUCUUUCGUGGACCAUGGAUACUUGGUGAUGCUGGAUGCUUCUACUCUGCAAUGCUCAUAUCCGAUGCAAUAUAUUUUUGCUUUAUUGAAGGGGACUAACUUGUGCUGGGAGAGAUUCCUGAAGGUGAUGUCAGAUCAUUGCUAAAUAACAAGGAAUCCUUGGCACUUGUGAUCCAGUAGUAUUUGUCUACGACAGCCAUCUUCAGCUGCAGUGCUAUUCCUGUUUUCUGAAGUCAUGGGAUGCAAGGCUAUGCAAUCUCUUAACUGUAUAUUGCACCCAGUUAGCAAAAUGAUCUCCAUUCGGAACAAACAAUUGGAGGGGGGGACCUGGUUUCAACUGUUGAUGAGGCACUGUCCGAGGAGAGACAGUAGAUAAAUGCAAAUGUCCCCCAGCGCCAGAGGAGAUCCUUUCUAUGGAGAAACACCACAUACGUACAUAAUUUUCUGCCUGGAUUCUGGAAACGACCAAGGAUAAGCAACUCAAGCGAAAGAUUGCUUUGGUCGAUCCUGCUGUGUUAUUCUUCUCAAACAUGCUAAAGAAAGGGAUGAUACAAUCAAUCCAACUGUUACCCUCGGUGUGAUUUUUUGAAGGACUAAUCUGAAGAUGCUGGCUAGCUUGCACCGCCAUCAUACAGUCUAGAAGCAAAGGCAAGGAUUACAGGGAAAAUAAAGGUGCAAUGCGCCCAAUAUAUUUUACUUUUUGGCGAAGUUUUGGUGCUUGCGCAAGAAAGUAACACCAUUAUUAUACCUACUGAUCCUUCUUCCCAGGCAAUUCGCCAUCCGAAGAAAUGCCAACUAACUCAUUUUUAUACUUCCUCUGUUACAGAGGUAAAAAUACUACUGCUUUUCGAAAGCUUUUUGUUGUUGCAUGUUCCCCUUUCUUAAUCUUGUAUUUAUUCAAUCUCACCAUUCUAUCGUUUUCCUGAAAAAUUAUACUCACAUAGUAAUAUUUUCCUUAUUGGUGAUCUUCUGUUUGGCCUUCAUUUGGUGUGCAUAUGGCAUGGGAUAUUAUAGGCUUAUUUUUAUUAUUUGUUCAUGCACUAAUGCAUACUCCCUCCUUUCCCAAAUAUAAGCCUUUUUCUAGAGAUUCCAACAAGUGACUACAUACAGAGCAAAAUGAGUGAAUCUACACUCUAAAAUAUGUCUACAUACACCCAUGUGUUGUAGUCCAUUUGAAAUGUCUAAAUGACUUAUAUUUAGGAACGCAGGGAGUAAAUCUUUUGGUUAUGCUCUUAUUAUUUAGUCUAGAGCUAUGCAAUGACAACCGUGGCUUUAGUCUUCAGGUGAGUGCCAUAGACUGAAGAACCCUUGGCAUCUUAUCUAAAUUCUUUAAUCCUAUAUUAUGCGUGCCCAGUUAAAGUUAAAGUACCUUAUACCAGUACCUUAAUUAGCCUCUUCUGACAAUUGAUUGUUUGAACUGUUAUAGUAGGACUCGGACUUUCAAAGUUAUUAGGCAUGUGAACAUGUUUUUAUUUUAGUUUAUACAGUUUUGUGUUCUUUUGGCUUCAGGUUGCUCCUGCAGAGAAUGUUUGAUAGCAUAGGAAAAACAAAGGAAUUCUACAAAGAGGUUUGAGUGGAUGGAAAUUUUCCUCCAAAAUGUAGUACAAAUGGAUCAUAUGGAAAAAUUCCUAAGGAUGCCAAUCCUACGAAUCAAACGAGCAUCACAGGAAAAAUUCCUAAGGGUUUAAAUCCUCCAAAAAUCCUAUGCAAUUCCUUUGAAUCAAAGGAGCCCUUAGUUAGAAGAUACUCUUUUAAAGGCGGUCACUCAACUAAGUAUCUUAUACAAUAUACCCAGCUGGAUGAUUGGAGCAGUCUCAGCUGCUAAUUAGUGCUCCUGUAUUGAAUCACUCAGCUCAGUAUCAACACUGCCCUCGAGACUUGGCUAUUAGCAUAGUAGCAACGAGCUCACACACAAAAUCUGCAGAUUCAUCAAACACUGAAGGAGGUUAGUUCUUACCUGAGUGGCAACGGCGGCCGCCGUGCUGGAGCAUCCCUUGCCGUGAAAAGUUACCAGCUUCAGGGAGUGCCGGCACAGCCGAAACUGACGCCACCUACGGCAGGGAGCGACGGUGGCAACUGAGGAUUUGGCUCACCGGUAUGAGCAACAGUGGCACCAUUUGCCGGUUCCGCAGCUCCAAGCUACAGAGGUAGCUGCCGGGCCACCAAGAUGCAGAUGGAGCCGCAACGCCUCUGAGCUGCAGCAGGAGCCGCUCUGCCGCCAAGCUGCAGCGUCAGCCGCCACCAAGAUGGAGCCCAAAGUGUCGGCGACGGCCUCCACCAGAUGCUUUAUCACUUCAGUACGAGUAGAAUGGGGGAAGGAACGGGACGAAGAUGGUGAACUGGUGGAUGGAACAAGACAAACAGUCAACCACGUGCUGACCUCCGAUGUUACAUGUGUGACGCGUGUGUAUAGGUAUCCAGAGUGUGUGGUUCUCUUGUCCCAAUG